GCCAGCCCGCUCAGAACUUAAAGGAAUUGACGGGGGCCCGCACAAGCGGUGGAGUAUGUGGUUUAAUUCGAUGCAACGCGAAGAACCUUACCUGGUCUUGACAUCCCGGAGACCCUUAGGAAACUAGGGGGUGCUUCCAUCUGGAAGAAUCUGGAGACAGGUGCUGCAUGGCUGUCGUCAGCUCGUGUCGUGAGAUGUUGGGUUAAGUCCCGCAACGAGCGCAACCCUUGCCUUUAGUUGCCAGCAGUUCGGCUGGGCACUCUAAAGGGACUGCCGGUGUUAAACCGGAGGAAGGUGGGGAUGACGUCAAGUCCUCAUGGCCUUUAUGACCAGGGCUACACACGUACUACAAUGGCCGAUACAAAGGGCAGCGACACUGCGAGGUGAAGCCAAUCCCGUAAAAUCGGUCUCAGUCCGGAUUGGAGUCUGCAACUCGACUCCAUGAAGUUGGAAUCGCUAGUAAUCGUGGAUCAGCAUGCCACGGUGAAUACGUUCCCGGGCCUU
rnacentral:rRNA from 1 species